rnacentral:tRNA from 1 species
ACACCGGUGGCGGAGGAGACGCGUGCGGGUUCGGGACCCUCGGCGCCCGUACUGGCGGGCGGCGCCGCCGCGGUGCUGGUCCUCACCGGGGGC